GCAAGUCGAGCGAUAUAGCGGCGAACGGGUGAGUAACACGUUGGAACCUACCUUGGACUCAGGGAUAGCCGCCGAAAGGGUGGAUUAAUACCGGAUAGUCCCGCAAGGGUAAAGCUUUUGCGGUCCAAGAGGGGCCUGCGCAGUAUCAGUUUGUUGGUGGGGUAAUGGCCUACCAAGACUUUGACGCUUAACUGGUCUGAGAGGAUGAUC
rnacentral:rRNA from 1 species